rnacentral:pre_miRNA from 1 species
AGGAGGAACAACCCCAGUGGCAGUGGCCAGGUCUGAAAACCGGUAUUCAGCCUUGCAGUAACUCCGGAGAAAUCCAUCUGCAGGGCCUGGAGGCUCCGGGAUGGG